rnacentral:rRNA from 1 species
AUUGAACGCUGGCGGCAUGCCUAACACAUGCAAGUCGAGCGCAGCGGCGGUCGGGUGAGUAAUGCCAAGGAAUUUGCCUGGUACUGGUGGAUAACGUCCGGAAACGGGCACCAAUACCGCAUACUAUCAGAUGAGUCUAGGUCGGAUUAGCUAGUUGGUGGGUUAAAGGCCUACCAAGGUCACGAUCCGUAUCUGGUCUGAGAGGAUGCUCAGUCACAGUGGAACGGAGAAACGGUCCAGACUCCUACGGGAGGCAGCAGUGGGGAAUAUGGGACAAUGGGCGAAAGCCUGAUACAGCCAUGCCGCGUGUGUGAAGAAGGUCUUCGGAUUGUAAAGCACUUUAAGUUGGGAGGCGUUACCAGCAGAAUAAGCACCGGCUAACUUCGUGCCAGCAGCCGCGGUAAUUC